rnacentral:rRNA from 1 species
CCUACGGGUGACUGCAGUGAGGAAUAUUGGUCAAUGGACGAGAGUCUGAACCAGUCAAGUAGCGUGAAGGAUGACUGCCCUAUGGGUUGUAAACUUCUUUUAUAUGGGAAUAAAAUGUUCCACGUGUCGGAUUUUGUAUGUACCAUAUGAAUACGGAUCGGCUAACUCCGUGCCAGUAGCCGCGGUAAUACGGAGGAUCCGAGCGUUAUCCGGAUUUCUUGGGUUUAAAGGGCGCGUAGGUGGAUUGGUAAGUCAGGUGUGAAAGUUUGCGGCUCAACCGUAAAAUUGCAGUUGAAACUGGCAGUCUUGAGUACAGUAGAGGUGGGCGGAAUUCGUGGUGUAGCGGUGAAAUGCUUAGAUAUCACGAAGAACUCCGAUGGCGAAGGCAGCUCACUGGACUGCAACUGACACUGAGGCUCGAAAGUGUGGGUAUCAAACAGGAUUAGAUACCCCGGUAGUC